AUGUGCCCUUCCCCCAGCAGUGCCACAAAGACCUUCCCGCCCCUUCUCACAGCCCUCCUCCUCCAGGCAGCCCGCCCAGCCAGCGGAAGGGCCCCAGUUUCCCCUGUUCCGUUCCUCUGGCUGCGGCUCAGAAGGGCCCAUGCACAGGGGCCUCCAGCUGUAACUCUGUUGCUUCCCUGCCUGGCCUGGGAUGACAGUCAAGUGAGGAGGAGGAAGAGGAGGAAGAGGAGGAGGAGGAAGAGGAGAGCAGCCUCCAGCUUCUUUCCCGUUCUGCAUGAACCAGAUGCACAGGAGGGGAGGAGCAGGCUGAAAUGCCAGAAGCUGCACUUUGUGCCCAGCAUUGGCCGUCAGAACCCUUUCCUCCUGAGCCAGGGAAGAGGGGGCCGAAUGGGGGCCCAGGCUGAGCUCCUCGUGGUCACAGCAUCACAGGUGCAGAGGCGCCCCUGUCACCGCGGCUGCUGUAAGACCGGCCCCACAUCUACCAGACGGUGUCUCCACCCCAGGAAGCAGCCUGCCUGCGACUCUGGGCACCCAGAUGUUUGGUCCUGCGUUGAGUGGCCAGCAGCCACUCUGGCCUGCCCUCUCCUUGUCCAAAGAGUCAGAAGAGAGCAAGCCCAUUCCAGAACAGGAUUCCAAGCAGACCUGGGGUGCGUGUGGGCAGCUACAGGGGGAUGCUGCCCACAUCUGGACUUCAUGAGCACAUGA
rnacentral:lncRNA from 1 species